GACGAACGCUGGCGGCGUGCUUAACACAUGCAAGUCGAACGAAAAGAGGGAAAGAGCUUGCUCUUUCCGGAAUUGAGUGGCAAACGGGUGAGUAACACGUAAACAACCUGCCUUCAGGAUGGGGACAACAGACGGAAACGACUGCUAAUACCGAAUAAGUUCCAAGAGCCGCAUGGCCCAUGGAAGAAAAGGUGGCCUCUACCUGUAAGCUAUCGCCUGAAGAGGGGUUUGCGUCUGAUUAGCUGGUUGGAGGGGUAACGGCCCACCAAGGCGACGAUCAGUAGCCGGUCUGAGAGGAUGAACGGCCACACUGGAACUGAGACACGGUCCAGACUCCUACGGGAGGCAGCAGUGGGGAAUCUUCCGCAAUGGGCGAAAGCCUGACGGAGCAACGCCGCGUGAGUGAUGACGGCCUUCGGGUUGUAAAACUCUGUGAUCCGGGACGAAAAGGCAGAGUGCGAAGAACAAACUGCAUUGACGGUACCGGAACAGCAAGCCACGGCUAACUACGUG
rnacentral:rRNA from 1 species